rnacentral:rRNA from 1 species
UGCGUAGGCGGAUUUAUAAGUCAGUGGUGAAACCCUGAAGCUUAACUUCAGAACUGCCAUUGAUACUGUAGAUCUUGAGUACGGUUGAGGUGGGCGGAAUGUGUCAUGUAGCGGUGAAAUGCUUAGAUAUGACACAGAACACCAAUUGCGAAGGCAGCUCGCUAAGCCGUUACUGACGCUAAUGCACGAAAGCGUGGGGAGCGAACAGGAUUAGAUACCCUGGUAGUCC